rnacentral:lncRNA from 1 species
ACACACGUGGGAGAACAUGCACUCAUACACCUGCACACAUUUAAAUUAAAAUUUUACCGAAGUAUAUUUUUACUCCAUGUUUUAUUGCUUCUGCCUUUAUUUCUCUUAUGCUGGGAUGGGGCAUUAUAUGCUUUCAGGCUAUUUAAGGUUUGUGUGUCUGGGAGCAGAUGUGGGUUUAAUGGUGUCUUUAAGGCCUGCUGUGCCACUUCCAUAAGUAGAUUUCCUGAAACAGGGUUUGACCAGAGGGUUCAAACUGACAUUUGGAAACUUGAUGGCUACAGUGAGGGGUGCACAAAGGGAAGGGUCAUUAAAAUAGCCCAAUAUUGACAGAUUUAAAGAUUUCUAUAUCAUUUACUAAACAUUUUCUCUCUGGGAAGUUUUCCAGCUCAGUCAGUCUUAAAUAUUUUAUCAACAGAAAAUUUUUAAAGCGUCUACUCUGCUGCUUCUCAGUUCUUUGGCCGCAGGGUGUUCCUACCUAUCAGUGGAGAUUUAUCAGUUCCCACAAAGAUACAGAUUUUUUGUGAAGAAAGAAUAGCAGAUAAUCAUUUAACAGUAUUCAUAUGGAUAGGAAGAGGAUAAAAUACAUUAAUAUUAUCUUGAAAGAAUGAUUAAAUUCUAAAAAUUGUGGCCUAAUACACUAAUGAUGAUGUGUAAAAGUAGGUGAACAAACACAGAGAGCCAAAGGUUAAUCUAAUCAGACCUUAUUUAUAGCUUUGCCUUUUGGGUUAGAUGAUUGACACCAUAGAAGUUCACUCCUCAGAGUUUGUCUAUGAAGUAUUAUAUACUUAUAUUCUCAUAUUAUUUAUUCAUAUUAUAUGAUAUUAUAUACUUAUAUACUCAUUACAUACUUAUAAACUCAUAUUAUAUGAUAAUAUUAUACACUUAUAUACUCAUAUUAUAUACUUAUAUUUUGGUCCCAUACAUUGCUCAUGUGUUCUACAGUCUAUUUUUACUCAGAUUAUUAGCAAGAGUAUUUAGUGAAAUCAAAAUUAUUCCAUUCCCAUGUAUACAGUAAAUUAUUUCUGUAUUUUAAGAGAAUAUUCCUUGACAAGAAUAUUCUUCCUUGCUUGAAGACCAAGCAAAACCUGAACCCCCAAACAAACACACAAAUUGUAAAACCCCCAAAACACACACAAACAGAACCUCCAAACAAACAAACAAACAAACAAACAAACAAACAAACCAUAAUACUCCCACACAAAAUUACAAACACACAAACUAAAACCCCCAUAAACAAAUGCACAAACACAGAAAACAGAAUCCCUGCCCCCAAACAAGCAAACAAACAAACCCAACUCAGAUAAAUUAAAGGAGCCACGUGUGUAAGUAUUCUAUUUCUGGUGACUAUAAAUACAAAAAUGACUGGUACCAAAUGGCCAAGAAAGGUCCUCCAUACUGGCUUUAUCUUGGAGAGUUUUUACUUCUCGUUUUCUAUAUUAUUUUGAAUUUGGUUUGGCAAUAGACCAAACUAUAACAUCUUGUGAUGACCCAUGAGAAUAGAGAACUGUGCCAAUCAAAGCAUCACUAAGACUACUACAGCAUCCCAACAUGUGCUGACUGGUCCCUCCUUUAUAUAAGACCGUAGAAAGAUGUCCACCAGUUAUAAGGAAAGCAUAUGACAUAGAAAAUCAUUGUUACAUGAAAAUAUGCCUAUGAAUUUAAUGGACCCAAUUUCAUUAAGACACGCUUUAGCUUGAAACACAAAUAUUUUUAAUGUGAUUUGCUUUUCCCUGACAACUAGCGCAUUUGAACAUUUCCUUAAAUGUUUCUUGGCUGUUAGAAAGUCUUUGGUUGGGAAUUCUCUGUUAAACUCUAUAUCUCAUUCUAAGAAUUGGGUUAUUUGGGUAGUUGUUGUCUAACUUCUAGAGUUCUUUAUAUAUUUUGGCUAUUUGCCCUCUGUUGGAUUCAGGGUUGGUAAAGGUCUUUUCCCAUUCUGUAGGUUGCUGUUUUCUCCUGUUGGUGGUGUCCUUUGACUUUCAGAAGGUCUUCAGUUUCAUGAGAUUCCUAUUUAUUAAUUGUUGAUCUUAGUGCCUGAGCCAUUGGCGUUCUGUUCAGGAAGUUGUCUCCUAUACCAAUGGGUUCAAAGCUAUUCCCCACUUUCCAUUCUAUUAGAUUUAGUAUAUGUGGUUUUACAUUGAGGUCUUUCAUCCACUUGGACUUGACUUUUGUGCAGGGUGAUAAAUAUGGAUCUAUUUGCAUCCCUCUCCAUGGAGACAUUCAGUUAGACCAGCACCAUUUGUUGAAGAUGCCCUUCCUUUUCUAUUGUAUUGUUUUGCCUUCUUUGUCAAAAAUCAAGUGUCCAUUCAUAUGUGGGUUUAUUGCUGUGGCUGUGAUUCAAUUCCAUUGAUCAACCUGUAUGUUUCCAUACCAAUGCAGUUUUUGUUACUAUUGCUUUAUAGUACAGCCUGAGGUUAGGGAUGGUAUACCCCCAGAAGUUCUUUUACUAUACAGAAUUGUUUUGGGUGUCUUGGGUUUUUUUUUUUCCAUAUGAAGUUGAGAAUUGUUCUUUCAAGGUCUGUAAGGAAUUAUGUUGCAAUUUUGAUGGGACUUGCAUUGAACUGUAGAUUGCUUUUGGUAAGAUAGCCAUUUUCACUAUGUUAAUCUUACUUAUCCAUGAGCAUUGGAGGUCUUUCCAUCUUCUGAUAUGGCCUUCAAUUUUUUUCCUUCAAAUACUUGAAGUUUUUGUCAUACACAUCUUUCACUUGCUUGGUUAGAGUUACAUCAAGAUAUUUUAUGUUAUUUGUGGCUAUUGUAAAAGUUGAUGUUUCCCUAAUUUCUUGCUCAGUGCAUUUUUUGUUUCUAUAAAGGAGGACUAUCAAAACAACUCUGAGAUUCAACCUCAAACUCAUCUGAAUGGCUAAGAUAAAAUCUCAAGGAACAGCACUUGCUGGCAAGGAUGUAGAGCAUGGGGACUCCUACAUGGCUGGUGGGAGUGCAACCUUGUAUAACUGUUCUAGAAAUCAACUUCAUAGUUUCUCAGAAAACUGGGAAUAGCUCUAUCUAUCUCAAGACUCAGCUAUACCUCUCCUGAGCAUAGACCAAAAAGAUGCUCCACCACACCACAAGGACAUGUGCUCACUAUGUUAAUAGCAGCUUUAUUCAUAAUAGCCAGAAGCUGGAAACAACCUAGAUGUCACUCAACUGAAGAAUGGAUAAAGUAAAUGUGGUUCACUGACAAAAUGGAAUAUUACUCAGCUAUUAAAUGCAAAAACAUCAUGAUGUUUACAGGCAAAUGGAUAGAACUAGAAAAUAUUUACCCUGAGUGGCAUAACCCAGACAAAAAAGAGCAUGCAAGGUGUGUAUUCAUAAUGGAUAUUAGUCAUAAAGCACAGGAAAACUAUGCUUAUAAUUCACAGAUCGAAAAGAACUCAGAUAACAAAGGGGGCCCAAAGGAGGCUGAAUCUUUUUCAAAAGGGGAAAUAAAAUAGAUAUUAGAUAUAGAUUGAGGGGAGAAUUGCAUGGGAGAGGAACUGGAGUGGGGAGCAUGACAGGGGGGUCAGGUAUGGGGGAACAAGGGAAAGAGUUGGCAGUGAGGAUGCAUCUCUAGGACAUAGCAGGGACCUGGGAUGGGGAGAGGCCCCAGGGUGGCUAUGGAGUGACUCUAACUGAGACUCUUAGCAGUGGGGGUUCUGGAUCCUGAAGUGUCCACUUACUGUAGCCAGGAAGGAGUCUCAGUGAAACAAUACGGACUAAAACCACAAAACCUUCCACCAAAGAUGUGUCCUACCUACAAGAUGUGCAUGGACAAAGAAAGAGGGGAGACAAGAGGGAAUGGCCAACCAAUGACUAGCCCAAAUUGAGACCCAUCCCAUGGGCCAGAACCAGUCUUUGACACUAUUAAUGAUACUCUGUUAUGCUUGCAAACAGGAUCCUAGCAUAACUGCCAUUUAAGAGGCCCUACUCAACAGCUGAUGGAAACAGAUGAAAAGACCCAUAGCCAAACCCAUAGCCAUAGGUGGAACUUGGGGACUCUUGUUGGAAGAGUUGGGGGAAGGAUUGAGGAACCUGAAGAGGAUAGGGACUUAAUAGGAAGAUCAACAGAGUCAACUAACCCAGACCUACGGGGGCUCCCAGAGACUGAGCCACCAACCAAAGUGCAAGCCUAGACUGGACCUAGCUCCUCCUCUCUCUGCACAUAUGUAAUAAAUAUGCAGCUUGGUCUUCAGGAGGGUCCCCCAACAACUGGAGCAGGGGUUGUCCCAGACUUUGUGGUCUACCUGAGGAUCCCAUUCCCUUAUCUGGCCAGCUACUCUGGCCUUGGUGAGAGAGGAUGUGCCUUGACCUACAGUGAUUGAUGUGCAUCUGGGUACAAAAUUUGUUACCCUUUUAUGUUAUUUUUGAAAAUUAAACUUUUAAAAUCUAAAACUCCCAGUUCUAUGCCUGGCAGAGUUUGGACU